AAAACAGGCUGUAAUCAAAAGGAGAAAAUAACCAGUGUUGAUCAGGUGUAAGACUCCACAGCUUACUAGCUGGCAGCAUCAGCUGUGGACCAAAUGAUGCCUGGGGAAAUAUUUGUAUUCCACCCUGAUUCUAACUCUGAUAACGCAGGGCAGCAGAAUGCACAGGUGAAGAAGACCCUGAACACUGAGGGCUGAGAGCAACACUUGGAGAAAACCACAGAUGGCAUUCUUGCAAGUAGAAAUUCAUUGUGUUUUUUUUUUUUCAUUCACUGCUAUUGGGAAUAAACAUACUUUUCAACCCUAAGGGUCAGCUGCUUUUCAUGGGAAGUAACUAGUCACAACCUCCUCGUUUAAAGAAGAGGAUAUCCUGAAGGAGUGAAACUGAUGAAGGAACUCGGGCCUGUGAAGACAGUGACUCCCUAAGCCACACAGAUGGCUAUUAGCAAAAACGGGGCACAAGCCCAGGCUGCUUGAUUUCGAAAGCAGAGCUUUUUCCUUCUUCACACAAGCCCUCCUCUGUUUGUGGCAGAGUUCACUAUCUGCUCCAGACAGAUACUGGUAUUGUCCUACACCAGAGACAGGGAAGCAGAUGGAGGCGAGAAGGUUCGAAGGGGAAGUGAUGUGGGUGUGGCUGAUGCAGACGUCAUUGCAGCUGGACAAGCAAUUUGAAAGAAAGGUAUUUCCAAGGCUGGAUUCUUCUGCUCAUCGUUGAAACAAAGAAACACUGGGUGGAAAACACUGGCAGUUUUAAUAGUGGGAACGUUUCUCCCUAACAAGUUUGAGCAGAAAGUAGGAAGAAUAUGGUCCUGAGCUAAAAACUGGAGAGGAACUAGAGAAGGUAUGAGGUUAUAAUUCAGGGUGGCCAAUUUAAUCAGCUCAUAUUCAUUAAACACCCACAUACACAUGGUGCUUUACAACAAACCCCUUCGCUCACUCUGAAGCAUCCACAGGCCUGUUUUAAAUGGGCCACCCUGUACAUGUUGGGAAUCUGGCCAGGGUGUUAAGGCAACUGCUUCCCUUCCUAAGAAAAAUAGGGUGGAUUUUUAGACAACCACAAGUAAAGGCUAAAGCCUCUAGUUUCAUAUCCCAUCUGAAAGCUGGGAAAGACUUGAGGAAUCUGUUUUCCAAGAAUCUGUUUGCAAAACUCAAUAAUAUAGUAAACCCUUCCAUUUCAGACCUGUAACAUCCUAUACUAUCUACAUUCCCAGACUUUUACUCUGCAAUUUCCCUGGGUACAUUUCUCCUCUUUAUUGGAGCUGAACUCAAGUGCUUUAUGAAUAUUCCCACAUAACGACUGAAGCAUUAUGACCCUUCAGUUAUGUCUAAUUAGCCAAUCAAUGAUUUUGGUCACUUCCGGCCCUUGUAUAAUGUACUCAUUGUAACUACAAAAAAACAUGUUCUUACCAUUGCCUAUGUAAACUGCCAAGAAUAUUUUCAAUCUUACUGAUUUAUCAAGCAACUUUUGAUUGCAAUCUGAGGAGAAGACUGCCUGGGCCUGUUCCUCUGACAGUCCCCAGGAGCUGGGCCUAGCAAGCUUCUGGUACUAUGUGGUCUCUGAAUACCAGGGAGGAAUGCGGUACAAGUCACCCCACUUGGGUCCCUGCCCAACUAUGUUGGCAGGUGCUGUGACUUUUACAAGAAAUCUUAUACUUCCAAAGAUUGUAACCCACACAGAGGGCAUCAGACCAUUAGGAAAGGCUGAAAAGCUUCCUUGACAUCAGACCAUUCAUUCUUGGAUAACUUUCUCAUUCUUCCAUGAUGCCAUCCACUGGGAGAUUUCAGGAAGCUGAGGACAAGACUCAAGCUGUUGUAAUUACAGCUUAUAAUACAAAGCAAACAGUAGGUGCUCAACUAAAUACUGCUGGGUGGUGGGUUGUUUUUUGUUUUUAAUUUGGCUUAGUUUCAGUGUGUGGUUUGGGGGGUUGAGAUGGGUUCAUGAGGUCGUAGAUACAAAUGGGAAGUCAGGAUGGUUUGUUUGAAGUGGCUCUGCAUGUCUCCAAAUAUGUGAGCAGAGAAAAAUACUUGCAGUAUUGUUCAAGGUAGUUAGGUGAACAAUCAUAAGAGCUGUAAAAUAAUAAGCCUACUUUAAUAACACCCUCACAUUUUACAAAAUCCUUAAGUGGCCCCAACAGCUUUGCCUUGGGUGUGCGUGAAAUAAAUAGCAGGUGGCUUAUUUGGCAUGUCCCUCCAGUUCAGGAGUAAGUCUGAGGCCCCUGGGUCCCUAGGAGUCCUCCAGCUUAAUAAAUAGAAUAUUAUCAAUAUUC
rnacentral:lncRNA from 1 species